UUGAAGUUGAAAUGUUAAUUCAGAAAGGAGCAGUAUGCCCAAGAUUAACACAUAACGUGCAUUUUAAUAAGGCAAGAAGAACCAACAGAUGUUUAUACCAAACUUUCCUUUAUUAAACUACUUUGAAAUUGCAAAACAAAACAACAAUAUCGCAGCUUCCUUUGGUAUUCGCUUAAACAGUAAAACGAAUAAUUUCAAAUUCGGUCAGUUGGGCCCCUUGACGGGCUCAAAAUCUCAUAAAUCAUCUUCUUUUUAUUUACGCAUGUAUUUCUACGCUCGAAUUGAGUUUGUGAGUCGGUUCAAUAUCGAUCCACCUAAUGGAAAACAUCAGUAGAAUUAACAUGAACACAACCCAUUUAUCGAUCGUUUUGGGGGCUUUUUCAAGGAUAGAGAGUCAAAAAAUAACAGAGUGAGAGUGGAGAAGUGGCCAAUCUUAAGAAGAUAGCGACAUGCAAAAUGGGUCUCGAAGUUGGUGAAAAAGAAGAGCUAAGUUGCAGCCACAAUUACUGACUCCUGCAGCCCUCCAUUUCCUACCUUAAAAAGACCAACCUCAAUUCCCUCUAUAUGCACACCCAGCUAAGAGCUACAGUAUUAUCUUCUUCCCUUCAUAACCAAAAUAUAUAAAUAUAGUAGUAGCAAGAAUUAACGAAAGUCAAAGCGAGGAAUUCUACGUUCAAAGCACAGAGAUCAAGAACUAUUAAGAGCAGUAAUAUCACAUGGGAGCCAUGUUGAUCACUGCCUAAUAAUACUGUUAGUCACGCAGGCCUCUCUCUUGGAUUUCGGUUGACAAAUGUGUUUGCCUUUAUUAUUUUUAUACACAUUCCUAUGUAUUAGGACAAUGGGUCUCUGUUCUGAGUUAUGCUUAAUUUUCCUAGGAGCAGUACCCUCUCUCUCUCUCUCUGUCUCUACGCAUGUGAUUGUUUUACAUUACUCCUCCUCACUGUCUCUUUCAUGGGACAGAAUUUCCUUGCUAGGGUUACAUUUUUUAUUUGCCCUAACUUUCUCUCUGACCUGAGGUUUCUAUGUUUUAAUUAAAAUUAAUUGACUCAGUUGGAAUAAUUAGGCACUGUUGUUUUGUUCAGUGAACAAUGAACAAUGCAGGCCAAGAAUAGAGCAACAUAUCUAAUGUGUACAAAUAAUUUUCAAUGGCUAAAAAACAAUGAACAUGUCCACUGCAGGCCAAAAAUAGAACAUCAUUUCAAAUGGCC
rnacentral:lncRNA from 1 species